AAAGGGGAGCAAUCCCUGAGUACAGUGGCGUACGGGUGAGUAACACGUGGAUGAUCUAUCUCUUAGUGGGGAAUAGCCCUGGGAAACCGGGGAUAAUACCGCAUAAGCUCGAGAGAGGAAAGCAGCAAUGCGCUGAGAGAGGAGUCCGCGGCCGAUUAGCUAGUUGGCAGGGUAAGAGCCUACCAAGGCAGAGAUCGGUAGCCGGCCUGAGAGGGCACACGGCCACACUGGCACUGAAACACGGGCCAGACUCCUACGGGAGGCAGCAGUGGGGAAUCUUGCACAAUGGGGGCAACCCUGAUGCAGCGACGCCGCGUGAGCGAUGAAGCCCUUCGGGGUGUAAAGCUCUUUCGGCAGGGAAGAUAAUGACGGUACCUGCAGAAGCAGCUGCGGCUAACUACGUGCCAGCAGCCGCGGUAAUACGUAGGCAGCGAGCGUUGUUCGGAGUUACUGGGCGUAAAGGGUGUGUAGGCGGUUGUUUAAGUUUGGUGUGAAAUCUCCCGGCUCAACUGGGAGGGUGCGCCGAAUACUGAAUGACUUCGAGUACGGGAGAGGUGAGUGGAAUUCCUGGUGUAGCGGUGAAAUGCGUAGAUAUCAGGAGGAACACCGGUGGUGUAGACGGCUCACUGGACCGUAACUGACGCUGAGACACGAAAGCGUGGGUAGCAAACAGGAUUAGAUACCCUGGUAGUCCACGCCCUAAACGAUGCAUAUUUGGUGUGGGCAGUUCAUUCUGUCCGUGCCGGAGCUAACGCGUUAAAUAUGCCGCCUGGGGAGUACAGUCGCAAGGCUGAAACUCAAAGGAAUUGAC
rnacentral:rRNA from 1 species